ensembl:lncRNA
CCAAUCAAAUAUCAGGGUUAACACAAGCCACCUGCAGAGCCUGGGGCUGGGGCGCUAACCUGGCUGGAAAGGAACUAGGGUGGUCCGUCCGUCCUCCACGGAUGUCCUGGGGGAGGGCACGCUGAGCUCAGGCCACUGCCUCUUGCCUGGGGCCACUACGACCCUGUGCUCACUCGUGGGUGCGGUGCAGACAGACCGGCUGGCUCCCGGCCAGCUAAAGGUGUUUCCCUUUGCCUGGUAACGGGAGGUGUGGCCGCGGCAGGCAUGGAGGGCAGGAGCGAAAUAGACAGUGAAGAGAAGCCAGACCUUGACCCCCGGGUCCUCUAAAUGCUGGAGACCUAACCCACGAGGCUGACAGAGAAAGUCGGAAGCUGGAGGCCGGAUCCGACGUCAGGAACAUGUUCCCCUACGUCUCGAUGCCGAGCGUCCCCCUGCCGAGCGCGGAGGGCGGCUGGCCCCCGCCGCAGCCCUUCAUCUACACCUUCCUACCGGGCGCGCUGCUGCUGCCGCCCAUCGGGGCCCACGACUUCUGCAGCCGGCCGGCCGGCCUGCGGGAGCUCCACUGCUUCCACGGCGCGCGCGCGCCGCCCUGGUGGCCGUCCCCGCCGCUCCCCGCCGCCGGUGACUGGCGCCAGUCUCGACCCGCAGCAGCGGCCGAGCGCGCAGCGCCGUGGCCCGAGGGCGCCAGCCUGCAGGCCGAGCUGCGCUGGGGCCGCGUGGAGCGCGUGCAGGGUCCGCCCCUGCGGCUGCCCGACUCCGUGCGCCGGGAGUUUCGGCGCGCGUACGGCACCUACCCGCGCACCGACGUGCGCGUCACUCGGCGCGGGGCCGAGUUCCUGCUGCAGGCGGUGCCGCGCGUGGGCGAGCCCGAGUACCGCGUGCAGAGGCGCGUGGCGCGCCAGCCGGACGGCGGCCACAGCGACGACAGCCCCGCCCGGGGAGCUGGGCUGCGCGGCCGCGCCCAGAGCAGCAAGGGGCCGAGCUGAGCGCGCCUCGGGCCGGGGGUGGUGCACUGGGAGCGGAGAAGGGAUCGAGGGUCCCCCGGGAGUGCUGGCCCUCUUUCCUCGGUCCUGGACAGCCCAGCAGCGGGCUAGAAGAGCAGCCUGACUGUUUCCGCUCCCCCCUCCGCACCUUGCCCUAAGAAGCCUACCGGGCGCUGAGCCUCCAUUUUCGCUUCCUUUUUUUGGUACCAGAGUCGCCCUUCCCCGCCCCGAAGCCCAGGGCGCGGCCACAGUCCCCUGCUAGUAAAGAAAGGGUCUCACUAUGCAGUUCAGGCUGGCCUUGAACUCACUGUGUAUCCCAGGGAACUCUCGGCCAUCCCCCUGCCUCGGCUUCCUGAGUGCUGGGAUUACAGGCCUGAGCCACCAUCAGAAGCGUUUGGGAACGCUGAGAAGAGAAGAAAGGCUUCCCUGAAACGCGCUUUCAUCUUCCGGAGCGUGAAGCCCGGGACAGGGUUCUGUGCUCACUCGCAGGAGAAGGAGGGGCCGCCAAACCAGCC